rnacentral:rRNA from 1 species
CUGAGAGGAUGACCAGCCACACUGGAACUGAGACACGGUCCAGACUCCUACGGGAGGCAGCAGUGGGGAAUAUUGCACAAUGGGCGCAAGCCUGAUGCAGCCAUGCCGCGUGUAUGAAGAAGGCCUUCGGGUUGUAAAGUACUUUCAGCGGGGAGGAAGGGAGUAAAGUUAAUACCUUUGCUCAUUGACGUUACCCGCAGAAGAAGCACCGGCUAACUCCGUGCCAGCAGCCGCGGUAAUACGGAGGGUGCAAGCGUUAAUCGGAAUUACUGGGCGUAAAGCGCACGCAGGCGGUUUGUUAAGUCAGAUGUGAAAUCCCCGGGCUCAACCUGGGAACUGCAUCUGAUACUGGCAAGCUUGAGUCUCGUAGAGGGGGGUAGAAUUCCAGGUGUAGCGGUGAAAUGCGUAGAGAUCUGGAGGAAUAUCGGUGGCGAAGGCGGCCCCCUGGACGAAGACUGACG